AGGUUUUCGGACCUAGAGACCGGCGCACGGGUGCGUAACGCGUAUGCAAUCUACCUUUUACAGAGGGAUAGCCCAGAGAAAUUUGGAUUAAUACCUCAUAGUAUUAUUGAAUGGCAUCAUUUAAUAAUUAAAGUCACAACGGUAAAAGAUGAGCAUGCGUCCCAUUAGCUAGUUGGUAAGGUAACGGCUUACCAAGGCAACGAUGGGUAGGGGUCCUGAGAGGGAGAUCCCCCACACUGGUACUGAGACACGGACCAGACUCCUACGGGAGGCAGCAGUGAGGAAUAUUGGUCAAUGGGCGCAAGCCUGAACCAGCCAUGCCGCGUGCAGGAUGAAGCAUCUAUGGUGUGUAAACUGCUUUUGUACGAGAAGAAACACUCCUACGUGUAGGAGCUUGACGGUAUCGUAAGAAUAAGGACCGGCUAACUCCGUGCCAGCAGCCGCGGUAAUACGGAGGGUCCAAGCGUUAUCCGGAAUCAUUGGGUUUAAAGGGUCCGUAGGCGGUUUAGUAAGUCAGUGGUGAAAGCCCAUCGCUCAACGGUGGAACGGCCAUUGAUACUGCUAAACUUGAAUUAUUGGGAAGUAACUAGAAUAUGUAGUGUAGCGGUGAAAUGCUUAGAGAUUACAUGGAAUACCAAUUGCGAAGGCAGGUUACUACCAAUAUAUUGACGCUGAUGGACGAAAGCGUGGGGAGCGAACAGGAUUAGAUACCCUGGUA
rnacentral:rRNA from 1 species